ensembl:lncRNA
AUGGCGAGUGUGAGAUCCUGCUGGCUGCGCUGGGGAACGCUGGUUUCUGUCAUGUUCUGUCUGUUUGCUCAGGGGAACAGCUGGGAGUGUUUGGACAAGAACGAGAUUCUUACUGAAAUGUCCAGGGAUGUUGAGAUGCCGUCUGAGUGUGUGUUGAGCUGUACAGCGCUCUCUUACAGACAGAUCGCAGACAGACAGCAGAAACUAACUGUCCGCUUCAAAGACUCACAUCCCGGCGAGUCGGGGGACUUCUGCUGGUUUAUUCAUAAGAGAUGCAGCACAUGGGAUGAAGUUUUUGUUUUACUGUCAGUCAAUGAAUCCAUUCAGAACGGAGGAGAAAUUCAACUUCGAACCAACUCUCUGAUUCACCUGAACCCCAUUCAUCCCCACGACUCUCUGUCCAUCAUCCCUGACGACUGCGGGCUUCGCUUCGACGUCACGCCGCACCUGAGACACCUGAGACACCUGAGACACCUGACACAACACACGCUCUGUGUCACACCCACAGGCAUCAUGGGAAACCACUUACACUGUCCACCGUCUCUGGUCAUCAUAAGGAAAAAACAGUAGGGUCUGACAGUCUGACUGAUUCCUGAAGGAACCUAUAAACAUUAUGAGACACAAUGGUAAAGAUUUAGACAGAUGUACUGUAGGCUAGUGGUGUGACAUUUAGGAUAUUGCAUUUCAAUUUAAAUUCUUUUGAAUUAUAUAUAUAUAUAUAUAUAUAUAUAUAUAUAUAUAUAUAUAUAUAUAUAUAUAUAUAUAUAUAUAUGAUAUGAUUUCAUGUGUGGCGAAUGAAUUGCUGUGUCUCGCCUGCAGCUGAUACACAACAGGUAUACAUUCAUUGUAAAUUGAUUAUUAAAUUGUUUAAUUAGGGUUUAUAGAUCAUUUAAAUGACAGAGAUCGAGUGUCUGAAUUCACUCCUUCAAGUGAACUGUACUAGUGUUCUGUAGGGAAUAGUGAAUGAUUUCAGAUUCAGCCUCAGUCUAUCUAGUACAGAAUAAACCCCUGACCCGACCGUCCCGCUUAAUUCAGAUCUCGUUUUCAGAAUAUAUCAUUUUAAAGAAUAGAAUAGAGAUUGGCUAACAAAUAAAAGUGUAGUCUGACAAAAUUGUGUCAUUUUAUUCUUGUCAAGAGUGUUGAAUUUACUGACUUUGACUUAAAUUCAUAUGAAUUAUCUUUAGACACAAAAUUUGUUUAUUAUUUUAUGCAACACAGGGAAAAAAUGUCAGAGAGAAUAAAAAUGUACAAAAAUUGAAUUUCUUAUUUUUAUUCGUCUUGUCAAAAAGAAUUUGGGUGGUACAAAAAUAGUCUAUUAAGAUUUUCUAAACUUUGAAAUGUUUCUGUAAACACAGUAGGAAAAGUGUCGCAGAGAAAAAUAAAUAAAUACGACAUCUGUCAUUUAAAAUAAGCAAAAUAUAAACAAAACCGAGUGGAACGUCCUUCGAGAAGAGAUCUUUCUUCUGCCGUCACUCAUCCACUAGAAGCGUGUUGUGUCCGAGCCGAGGGCAGCUGCAUCGGUGGUCGGAUAUAGACUUCGGGAACGGGAGCUCCCGUUCAUAUACACCAGAGUUACCGACCGCUACCGCGUUUUAUUCGGGAAUUUAAUCCCGCGGCGCAGAAGAUGUGUUCGUGUGGAGUCGCGGGAUGCAGACCUUUACCUUCUUCUUCUUCAGCCCAGAUAUAGACACGACACGACCUGAAGUCAUACUUGUGCUGGUAUUUCUUACAGAAGUGUUGUAUGGUAAUAAACUAGUCUUUCGGAGUCCAAACUACAUUAUCUCGGUCAGUUAGUCAGUUAGACUGCGUAAACAGAACAGACUAGUGCUAUUUAAGUUGAAUGACAUGACAGUUAAAAACACUAAUUGUUUUACGGCAGCUGAAAAGCAAUUAAAAAUGACAAUCAAAUUAAUUUAAAGAAAC